GCUCGGGGGCGGGGCUCCCCCUGCGGGCCGGGCGGUCUCGCGCGGGGCUCGGAGGGGGCUUCGUGACGUCACGCGCGGCCGUUGGGGCCGGGAGCGGCUGCGUCAGAGCGGCGGGCCCGCUCUUCAGCUAGCGGGUGUGUCACGGAGCGGCCCGGCGGCCCUGCCGGCUCCGGGCUCGGUCUGAAGCUCGCUGCUUCGGCAGAACGGGGGUCGCUCCGUAAUUUUUCUCCCGUUUCUGAAAGCGUUAGGACGAGUGGUGAGGAAAUAAUAGAUGAUUUGGAAUAUGCUGUGAACCUGACUCUGAGAUGUUCUGGACACUGUUCAUCUCUUCAAGGAUGAAAUGUGACCUUCACAUAAGGAUGGAAACUUGAAGGUAGAUGGAUCCAUUUGGGUGCAUCAUAAAGCAGCUCUUCUCUGAUCACACUGGUCCCUCUAGAAACUAGCAUGACGGUGAGAAGGUUCUCCAUGAUCUCAGUUCACCUGGGGAGAGAAAUUCAAAAUGUGCCCUAAAGGAAGGUUGAUGGAUUGUUCCUGCUGUGUCUUUGGCAAUGCUUAGUCCACGAAGAGCAAACAAGUGUAAAAGCACGGACCUGUACAGGAUCCCAGCGCUGUCUCUGAGCUCCCCCCUGUGACAAGCCUGAUAAGGAUGGAACCUAAGGCACAGG